rnacentral:rRNA from 1 species
GAUGAACGCUGGCGGCGUGCCUAAUACAUGCAAGUCGAGCGAACAGAUGAGGAGCUUGCUCCUCUGACGUUAGCGGCGGACGGGUGAGUAACACGUGGAUAACCUACCUAUAAGACUGGGAUAACUUCGGGAAACCGGAGCUAAUACCGGAUAAUAUAUUGAACCGCAUGGUUCAAUAGUGAAAGACGGUUUUGCUGUCACUUAUAGAUGGAUCCGCGCCGCAUUAGCUAGUUGGUAAGGUAACGGCUUACCAAGGCAACGAUGCGUAGCCGACCUGAGAGGGUGAUCGGCCACACUGGAACUGAGACACGGUCCAGACUCCUACGGGAGGCAGCAGUAGGGAAUCUUCCGCAAUGGGCGAAAGCUUGACGGAGCAACGCCGCGUGAGUGAUGAAGGUCUUCGGAUCGUAAAACUCUGUUAUUAGGGGAGAACAAAUGUGUAAGUAACUAUGCACGUCUUGACGGUACCUAAUCAGAAAGCCACGGCCAACUACGUG